GGAGGCUGCUGGGGGGUGGGGCUCGUCCACAGGCUGUGGGAGCAGCACCAAGAGCCAGCCUUGCCUGGGACCCCAGGCCCGCACACAGACGGUCACCAGCCUGUCCCAGCACAGCCACCCAGCUCACCACAGACUCUGAAACACAAAGAAAUUUAGUGGCAUUUAAUAGUAGGCAUCUGGACUUUCGGAAAUAUAGCUGAGAAGAAAAUCCAGCCCACCUGUGUAAGUGACUCCUGUUCCAGUUCUGUUGGUUGUGGAUUCAACGGUGCUAUCCCCAGGGUGCUGGGUGACAGGGAUGCUCACCAGACACCAUCCGUCAUCAAAGACGCUUACACAUACUUGAAAAUUGCAAUAAAAAAUAUAUGAUAGAUA